GUUAUAAAUAAUUUCCCUUCUAAACCUGUGUACUUUAUGGACAGUGUAGCAUUUUAGUGUGGAAGUGUCCGAUGUAUGUAGUUCAGAAGAUAGGUGCCAAAGUGUAACAAUAUAAUUUAAAAUGGUAUAAAUGUGAACAUGCUAUGACUUAGAUUAGUUUAUACCAAAUAUGGACAUAGCAGUUAUUGUGGUAGCAGCUAGGUAAAGUGUAUAAUAGUGACAAUAAAUUAAAUAUUAUAUAUUGUCGCGGCGGACCGACAGCCGGCGCGCAGGAUAAGAAAGUCGCUCCUUCCCCGACUGCCGCGCAGCUGGAAGGACCGUCAUGGUGGGGCGUAACCGCCGUCACAACACCGGCCGGCGAUUAGGGAGUCAGUCGGGAGAAUUCCACCACUCAGGCGACGGGGGAAGAGUAUAAGAGGACGCUCUUCCGCCCGUGCAGGGAAGAGUUCAGGUGCGGACGAAGACGCCAGCUGGUGAGCUUACACACGACGGUGGAUGACGAGCACGGAAAACCCCACAAACUCGAAGGGAAUCCCGACAUGUCCUCGAGAGCGUCGCAACGCCAGCCACACCCCCCACAAAACCUCCCACACUCGCCCACACACACCUCCUCACUUCAGACAGCACCACGUAAGAGAAAAUAAAAGAUUAAUCACUGUAUCACUGCAACCAGUUUCCUGCGUAUCUGUGCUCCGCCCCCCGGGCUAUUUCC
ensembl:lncRNA